UCCAAUAUCAAACAUUAGAACUUAUUCCUUUGAUCUAACCAUCUGUUCAUACCCAUUAACCAAUCUUUCUUCAUUCCUACCCUGUCCAGGCACACCCUGCCCAGCCUCUGGUAUCUAUCAUUCUACUCUGCACCUCCAUGAGAUCAACAUAUUAAUUGGGGGUUGAAUUCAACCACAAAGGCAAUAUGCAAAGUUUAAAGAAGAAUCGUUUAUAUCUCUCUUUAGCAUGCUGCAUGAGAAAUAAAACUCAUCCCGAUACAUUGACGUCAGAAAGCUUUGAUGGAACCCAUAAUGAAAGUUACAUACCCACUGACCAGCUUUGUCAAUGUUGGAGAGAGAGUACUACCAAAGAGGAAAUUAACUGGUUACUCUUGCAGUUUGUUGAUGUCUGAACAAAGAUUACAUGGGAAACAAAGGAGGCAACAGAUGAAUACAAACAGUUCUUCAAAUUACCGUCAAUUUCCAUUUUCUAGAAUUUUUUUGAUCAUGGGCCGUCAAUGAAGAGUUCACUCUGCCACUUAACUAAAUAGUAUGUCUGCACAUUAGCUGUACAUUUUCUGCAAUGGGGCUGCCAGGGUUGGGGCAAAAUUUGGAUAAUUUGGGCAAGGCAAGCAUUUCCUUCUUACCACACUCUGAACAAAAGAAAGGUUUUUCUUUGGAGGAUAAGCAGUAGUCCCUGUGACAAACACUGGUAUUUUAGACCAGGAUAUAGUCUUGGAUUUGGAGUGAAAGCUGGAAUCAGUGCUUGGCUUUGACAUCUCAUAUUCACUUG